CCUACGGGUGGCAGCAGUGAGGAAUAUUGGUCAAUGGGCGCGAGCCUGAACCAGCCAAGUCGCGUGAGGGAAGACGGUCCUAUGGAUUGUAAACCUCUUUUGUCGGGGAGCAAAAGACGCCACGCGUGGCGUUCCUAGAGUACCCGAAGAAAAAGCAUCGGCUAACUCCGUGCCAGCAGCCGCGGUAAUACGGAGGAUGCGAGCGUUAUCCGGAUUUAUUGGGCGUAAAGGGGGCGUAGAUGGCAUAGUAAGUCUUUUGUAAAAAUGCUGGGCUCAACCCAGUAGGGCAAAAGAUACUGCAAAGCUAGAGUAUGACAGAGGCAAGUGGAACUACAUGUGUAGCGGUAAAAUGCGUAAAUAUAUGUAAGAACACCAGUGGCGAAGGCGGCUUGCUGGGUCGAUACUGACAUUGAGGCACGAAAGCGUGGGGAGCAAACAGGAUUAGAUACCCGAGUAGUC
rnacentral:rRNA from 1 species